UGGGGAAUAUUGGACAAUGGGCGCAAGCCUGAUCCAGCCAUGCCGCGUGAGUGAUGAAGGCCCUAGGGUUGUAAAGCUCUUCAGUGGGGACGAUAAUGACGGUACCCACAGAAGAAGCCCCGGCUAACUUCGUGCCAGCAGCCGCGGUAAUACGAAGGGGGCUAGCGUUGUUCGGAAUUACUGGGCGUAAAGCGCACGUAGGCGGAUAUUUAAGUCAGGGUGAAAUCCCGGGGCUCAACCCCGGAACUGCCUUUGAUACUGGGUAUCUUGAGUUCGGAAGAGGUAAGUGGAAUUGCGAGUGUAGAAGUGAAAUUCGUAGAUAUUCGCAGGAACACCAGUGGCGAAGGCGGCUUACUGGUCCGAUACUGACGCUGAGGUGCGAAAGCGUGGGGAGCAAACAGGAUUAGAUACCC
rnacentral:rRNA from 1 species